UAGGUUUUGUGUGUGUGUGUUUCUGUAUGUGUAUGGUCGUGUGCACGCGCGCGUGCAAACACACUCCCAUAACACACACACACACACACAGAGAGAGAGAAACAUAUAUAUAUAUAUAUAUAUAUAUAUAUAUAUAUAUAUAUAUAUAUAUAUAUUUAUAUACAUAUACAUAU